UCCCUGGUGGUCCAAUGGUUAGGAUUCUGUGCUUCCACUGCUGGGGCCCAGGUUCGAUCUCUGGUAAGGGAA
rnacentral:tRNA from 1 species